GACGUAGGGCGCGAGCGUUGUCCGGAUUUAUUGGGCGUAAAGCGUCCGCAGGUGGCGAUUCAAGUCUGCGGUCAAAGACUGGGGCUUAACCCUGGAAAGGCCGUGGAAACUGAAUAGCUAGAGUGCAGUAGGGGUAGAGGGAAUUCCCGGUGUAGCGGUGAAAUGCGUAGAGCUCGGGAAGAACAUCGGUGGCGAAAGCGCUCUGCUGGACUGCAACUGACACUCAGGGACGAAAGCUAGGGGAGCGAAUGGG
rnacentral:rRNA from 1 species